rnacentral:lncRNA from 1 species
GGACAAGACGUUACAGCCAGUGUAUGAAGACUAAACUUUUUGUACGGUCACAGGUGCUCUUGCAAAGACUGAUGGCUUGGCAGCAUAAACUAUUCUAUGGUUAUAGGGGUAAUGUCUUUAAACAGAAGCAUGCUGUUGUGGAGUGAAAGUGCACAAACCAUUGAUAACCCUUUGGAGAAUCAGUACCAGGUGUGGCAAGAAGUUUGAAAUCAAAGUCACAAGAAGUUGUUUGAUGAUGGAAGUAUCUGUGAUCAUUUAGUAUUUCCAGUGGUUCAGAGGAACAGAUUACACUCAGUUAAAACUAAAUGUGAUAUUUAUCUUUGUGAAUGAACGAGGACUUAAUGAGGAUAAAAUGUUAAGAAGACAAACCUGAUGCAGCAACAAUUUUGUGACAGUAUCAGUGUAAUACUUAACCAUGUACAACUGUUUUCCAUUAUAAAUGCAGUAAAAGGUAAUACAAUGUUAAAACUGCUUUACACUUUUUAUGCGAGGGAAUAUGUUGUAUAUGGUCACUAUAGAUGUUUUUCCAUUUGAUGAAAUGAUAUUGUGGGUGAACCGGUGAAGAAUAUAUUGACCAAAUCUGUCAUGUUGACCAUAAUGUUCCGUGCAACCUUUAUUGUACAAAAAGUAGAUUUGUUAUAGCACCAAAUAAUAGUGAGAUUGGAAGGCCAGUGUGCAAACCACUGAGCUAUCCGCCCACCACCAUUAGAUAUAUUAAGGCAAAAAUCGUCAUCUCGGCGCAAAAACUGUAUGCAUGUUUGUGCUUCUUUACUUCAAUGAGCCCACAUUUGGCGCUGAGGUGACAUUAUAAUUCCAAAGAAAACCUAAUACCUCCUCAUCGGUAACACUACUUAUUUACGUUGCUUACAGUUAAGCAUGAUAAAAAAAUAUGGAAUAAAAAUCUUGAUAAAAUU